UUUUAUUUUGUUGCUUGUGCAGUGUGGGUGUUUUGGUAUUGAGGAGUUUCAAAUUAUCUCAAUUGGGUAGUGGAAGUUUGAUGGAGAAAAUUUAGAAGUGAAUUAAGGGAUUUUGGGGUUACCGGGAUUCUUAUCGAAUUAUUCUGUUCAUAUUUUUUUUUCUUUUCCCCAAAAAUAAAAUUUUUGGUUUUCCCUUCUCCUCUUCUUCCUUUUUGUUGCCCUUUUUCUUUUUCAUUAUUAUUUUUUCUUUUUUUCUUGCUGUCAAAAUUUUUGUGCUCACCAAUUUUUUUUCUUCUCAACUUCUUUCCAUUCGAUCUCG
rnacentral:lncRNA from 1 species